rnacentral:rRNA from 1 species
UAUGUGAUCGUCUCUCGCAUAUCAAUAAGCGGAGGAAAAGAAACUAACAAGGAUUCCCCUAGUAACGGCGAGUGAAGCGGGAAGAGCUCAAAUUUGAAAUCUUAAAGGGUUUCCCUUUACGAAUUGUAGUUUAAAGAAGUGUUUUCUGUUGAGGUUUUGGUAAAAGUUCUUUGGAAUAGGGACAUCAUAGAGGGUGAGAAUCCCGUAUUUGACCUUUACUUUCAACUUUGUGAUACACUUUCAAAGAGUCGGAUUGUUUGGGAAUGCAGUCCAAAAUGGGUGGUAAAUUUCAUCUAAAGCUAAAUAUUGGCGAGAGACCGAUAGCGAACAAGUACCGUGAGGGAAAGAUGAAAAGAACUUUGAAAAGAGAGUUAAACAGUACGUGAAAUUGUCAAAAGGGAAGCGUUUGACACCAGUGUUGUUUUUCUGAAAAUCAAUUAAAGAACUGUUUAUGCUAAGUUGUUUAGACUUUAUCAGCUAUCUGCUUAGUUUUGAGCUUUUCUUUAAUGCACUUUUCAGUUAACAAGUCAACAUCAAUUUCUUUUGCUGUAAAAAAGCUUGAGGAAGGUGGCUUGAGAUUCGUCUUAAGUGUUUAUAGCCUCUUGCCUAUGCAGUCGGAGAGAUUGAGGUCUGCAGCGUAGAUCCUUCGGGGCUAAAUGCAUUUGUGCUAAGUUAUAGCAUUUUAUAGACAACUUGUUGACUAUGAUUUGUCUUGUAGCUUACUCGCUUAUGUUAUUUUACCUACGCUUAGGAUGUUGACGCGCGUGUGUGCGUG